rnacentral:rRNA from 1 species
GUGUCGUGAGAUGUUGGGUUAAGUCCCGCAACGAGCGCAACCCUCAUCCUUAGUUGCUAUCAGGUAAUGCUGAGUACUUUAAGGAAACUGCCAGUGAUAAACUGGAGGAAGGUGGGGAUGAUGUCAAGUCAUCAUGGCCCUUAUGGAGUGGGCUACACACGUGCUACAAUGGUGGCUACAAUGGGCUGCAAAGUCGCGAGGCUAAGCUAAUCCCUUAAAAGCCAUCUCAGUUCGGAUUGUACUCUGCAACUCGAGUGCAUGAAGUUGGAAUCGCUAGUAAUCGUGGAUCAGCACGCCACGGUGAAUACGUUCUCGGGUCUUGUACACACUGCCCGUCACGCCAUGGGAAUUGGUUUCACUCGAAGCU